rnacentral:rRNA from 1 species
ACACUCCUGCGGGAGGCAGCAGUGGGGAAUAUUGGACAAUGGGCGCAAGCCUGAUCCAGCCAUGCCGCGUGAGUGAUGAAGGCCCUAGGGUUGUAAAGCUCUUUCACCGGAGAAGAUAAUGACGGUAUCCGGAGAAGAAGCCCCGGCUAACUUCGUGCCAGCAGCCGCGGUAAUACGAAGGGGGCUAGCGUUGUUCGGAAUUACUGGGCGUAAAGCGCACGUAGGCGGAUCGAUCAGUCAGGGGUGAAAUCCCAGGGCUCAACCCUGGAACUGCCUUUGAUACUGUCGAUCUGGAGUAUGGAAGAGGUGAGUGGAAUUCCGAGUGUAGAGGUGAAAUUCGUAGAUAUUCGGAGGAACACCAGUGGCGAAGGCGGCUCACUGGUCCAUUACUGACGCUGAGGUGCGAAAGCGUGGGGAGCAAACAGGAUUAGAAACCCGGGUAGUCC